AGAUGUGAGGGUGAUCUGGCUGCAACAUGUCUCUCUGCUGAUUACCAGGGUUGAUUUGGCUGAUCUGGCUUGCUAGGCAACUGUCUCCUUUCUCCUUCGAUGCUCCACAUGUGUCCCUCCCAAGCUGAACACUCAGACAAAGAGGACCACUUUCCCCAAUAGAGGAGGACCAAUCUUUGGUCAAGGGUAUACGUGUAGCUAUGUUCCCCGGCUAGAACCUCCAAACAAGCUCUCAAGGGAGAUUAUAACAUUUUGUAUAAGGACCUUGAGCAUUUGCAGAUUUUGGUAUCUGCAGGAGCUCCGGAAAACAGAUGUGCAAGAUAUUGAGGGGUACCCU
rnacentral:snRNA from 1 species